AGACCGUGGUGUGGAAAACAUAUCAAUAAGUCCUUGUACCUCUCCCAAACAUCACACAUGCUCUCGUCGUCCAUCUGCAGAAAAGAAGAAAUAUGAUUUCUCAAUUU
rnacentral:snoRNA from 1 species